AGUGGUAGCUCAGUGGUUAAAACAUUGGACUCCUGAUCUGAUUGGAAGGUCAUGAGUUCAAAUCCCAAAACCACCA